rnacentral:rRNA from 1 species
ACGAACGCUGGCGGCGUGGAUAAGACAUGCAAGUCGAACGGGAGAAUUGCUAGCUUGCUAAUAAUUCUCUAGUGGCGCACGGGUGAGUAACACGUGAGUAACCUGCCUCUUAGUGGGGGAUAGCCCUGGGAAACCGGGAUUAAUACCGCAUACGAUUGAAAGAUCAAAGCAGCAAUGCGCUAGGAGAUGGGCUCGCGGCCUAUUAGUUAGUUGGUGAGGUAACGGCUCACCAAGGCGAUGACGGGUAGCCGGUCUGAGAGGAUGUCCGGCCACACUGGAACUGAGACACGGUCCAGACACCUACGGGUGGCAGCAGUCGAGAAUCAUUCACAAUGGGGGCAACCCUGAUGGUGCGACGCCGCAUGGGGGAAUGAAGGUCUUCGGAUUGUAAACCCCUGUCAUGUGGGAGCAAAUUAAAAAGAUAGUACCACAAGAGGAAGAGACGGCUAACUCUGUGCCAGCAGCCGCGGUAAUACAGAGGUCUCAAGCGUUGUUCGGAAUCACUGGGCGUAAAGCGUGCGUAGGCUGUUUCGUAAGUCGUGUGUGAAAGGCAGGGGCUCAACCCCUGGAUUGCACAUGAUACUGCGAGACUAGAGUAAUGGAGGGGGAACCGGAAUUCUCGGUGUAGCAGUGAAAUGCGUAGAUAUCGAGAGGAACACUCGUGGCGAAGGCGGGUUCCUGGACAUUAACUGACGCUGAGGCACGAAGGCCAGGGGAGCGAAAGGGAUUAGAUACCCCUGUAGUCCUGGCAGUAAACGGUGCACGCUUGGUGUGCGGGGAAUCGACCCCCUGCGUGCCGGAGCUAACGCGUUAAGCGUGCCGCCUGGGGAGUACGGUCGCAAGAUUAAAACUCAAAGAAAUUGACGGGGACCCGCACAAGCGGUGGAGUAUGUGGCUUAAUUCGAUGCAACGCGAAGAACCUUACCUGGGCUUGACAUGUAAUGAACAACAUGUGAAAGCAUGCGACUCUUCGGAGGCGUUACACAGGUGCUGCAUGGCCGUCGUCAGCUCGUGUCGUGAGAUGUUUGGUUAAGUCCAGCAACGAGCGCAACCCCUGUUGCCAGUUACCAGCACGUCAAGGUGGGGACUCUGGCGAGACUGCCCAGAUCAACUGGGAGGAAGGUGGGGACGACGUCAGGUCAGUAUGGCCCUUAUGCCCAGGGCUGCACACGUACUACAAUGCCCAGUACAGAGGGGGCCGAAGCCGCGAGGCGGAGGAAAUCCUGAAAACUGGGCCCAGUUCGGACUGUAGGCUGCAACCCGCCUACACGAAGCCGGAAUCGCUAGUAAUGGCGCAUCAGCUACGGCGCCGUGAAUACGUUCCCGGGUCUUGUACACACCGCCCGUCACAUCAUGGAAGCCGGUCGCACCCGAAGUAUCUGAAGCCAACCGCAAGGAGGCAGGGUCCUAAGGUGAGACUGGUAACUGGGAUG